rnacentral:rRNA from 1 species
CAGUGGGGAAUAUUGGACAAUGGGCGGAAGCCUGAUCCAGCCAUGCCGCGUGAGUGAUGAAGGCCUUAGGGUUGUAAAGCUCUUUCACCGAUGAAGAUAAUGACGGUAGUCGGAGAAGAAGCCCCGGCUAACUUCGUGCCAGCAGCCGCGGUAAUACGAAGGGGGCUAGCGUUGUUCGGAUUUACUGGGCGUAAAGCGCACGUAGGCGGUUUGUUAAGUCAGGGGUGAAAUCCCGGAGCUCAACUCCGGAACUGCCUUUGAUACUGGCAAGCUAGAGUCCGGAAGAGGUAAGUGGAACUCCUAGUGUAGAGGUGGAAUUCGUAGAUAUUAGGAAGAACACCAGUGGCGAAGGCGGCUUACUGGUCCGGAACUGACGCUGAGGUGCGAAAGCGUGGGGAGCAAACAGGAUUAGA